GAGGAUGGCAGCUGCAGCUCUUUGGGGAGAAGGUCAUACACUGAUUCUGUGUAGAGAGAGAAGAGAAGAGAGAGAGCGGGGGUUCAGGAGGCUAUACUCAUAGGCUCUCCUUAUAGACAUCGAGAAAACAUUUCAAAGGGGGAAAAACAAUAACCUUCGUACACAUGGUACAUCAUGCCUUUGGCGGUUGACACUGACCCUGUACCAGGCCCAGAGCAUUGUCUUGCCUGGCCAGCACUCUGGAAAAUGACCUAGCAGUUUAUAAAUGUACUAUAACAACAAGAGCGUAGUGAUAAAUACAGCCCCAGUCCAGAUUCCUGCCAUGUCUCCACAGCCUGGCCUAUCAGCUGCUGCCCGGGUGCCACCACCACCUACCAACCCCCAUCCCCACGUGUCUGUGCCAGGGGCCUUGGACGUCUCGCUCAGCCCCCUCCCUGAAAAAUGGCAGGGAGCUAUUUAGAGGAACAAGAGCACAAUGCCCCCGAGCCAUGUUUAGUAUGCUGAUGAGCACCACACUGAAAACCAAAGGGGCUGAGGAGGACUGGAGGAAGGCGGGUGUGGAGGGAGGUGACUUCAAGCGCUACACUACUUGUGAUGACGACCAGCACACCUUCCAACUCCCUCCAUUCAAUAGGACUAUCUAUGCUUCUGGAGAAUGAGCCUCUUCACACUUACUAGACUUUUACUAAUAUAACGUUGGCUACACAUAUUACUCAAAUGUAAACUUGCUUACUUUCUGUCUCAACUGUUACCUUCGGAGGUAGCGCAUUGCACGACAGUUGCCCCCCCCUCCUUGAAGCAGGGCAGUGCGAACAGAAUUGUCUCAUUGAGCCAACACUCCUACAGUAUAAAUGGCCAUACCAGAGCAAUGUUUUGAAACAGCUGAAACGUAUAGACAUUUUCCUAAUAUUUGAGACUUGUUUUAUUUAGUUUUUACCUGAAAUUGUAGUAACAGCCUGCUACAUUCUGAAAAUAUCGCAGUAGGUGCCGGCUGCACUGAGCCAUGUAAAACUAUGGAAGCCCAUCCCCACCACCUAAAACAUGUCAAAUGUUGUUCAUAUAAAUGUUUUAUUUGUAACAUUGUGUGGUGAUUUCAGAGGUGGCACCACAGGUCCCAGAGUGGUGGUGGGUGGGGCAAUUGUUUUCCUGGGGCCUAGAGCUUUUCCUGAUCUGGUAGUAGCCUAACCUAACCAACUCCGGACCCUAUUUGAAGCGUAUGACAUAGUAAUAAAACACUGUAAAAAACCUAGUCAUAUGUAAAAAAAACUUUUUUUUAAAACACUACAACCCUUCACACAGAUUAAGAGACAACUGCGAUUGGACAAAAACAAACAAGGCUGAGCUCGGUGUAUGCAGGGUUGCUCAUACAGCAAGUCAUUACUAUUGUGUUGAUUGAUUCAUUCCAGUCAACAACUUUGGAUUAAAAAGGACUAGGUAGCCUAGUUACCCGAAGUGUGACUAUAAACCACAUUUGAUCACAUUCACAUUUUCUUAGAACACAAAUAAAUGGGCCCAUUUUAGGCUAUAAAUUAGGAAUGUGCAUCUUUCCCUUUCGCAACGACUUAAUGCGUAUCUAGAUACAUGGGCUCCGAUACAAUACAUGAACGAUACGUUUUAGUUUGAAAUGAUUCUGGUGCGAUUCAGUUUGAGUAGAGAACAAAUUGAUGCGUUGAGAUGCAGUAACAUUUGUUCCAUAAACACAUUCAUUUUCCAUUCUAAAUUAAAACCUGUUGCUGAUGGAGCUCAUGAGUUGGGCCUCGCUGAGCUGGAUCUGCAGGUCUGUCUGUAAAUGAUGUAUGUCUAUGGUGUAUACUGUGUAGGCACCUGAUCUGAGCCAUAAGGGAGACUAGGCAUCUACCACCAGAUUAGGGGGGCAAUGUAGCUUUAUGUUUUUUGUCUCCCCACUUUGAAAUCCCCAUCAUCUACUAAUUAACUUGUCAUUUUUGCAGAUUAAAUUUGCGCAAGUAAUGUAUUAAUAUUUAUCAUUAACAAAUUAGCUAUGACAUAUCCAAUGAAUAUAUAGCACAACUUUGGAUUCCACCCCAUCUCAAAACUUUUGAACAUUUGACAUUUUUAGCGAGCUUCUUUUCUAUUCCUGUGUUAGCAAUGCCGCGCACCUCCCAAAAGUGAUUACAUGUUAUGAAAUGAUUAACUUUACCCUGAUAUCUAAUUACCAUGUACACCGAAUGUACAAAACAUUAUGAACACCUUCCUAAUAUUGAGUUGCACCCCUUUGCCCUCAGAACAGCUUCAAUUUGUCGGGACAUGGACUCUACAAGAUGUUGAAAGCGUUCCACAGGGAUGCUGGCUCAUGUUAACUCCAAUGCUUCCCAAAGUUGUGUCAAGUUGGCUGGAUGUCCUUUUUUUGGUAGAACAUUGAUACACACAGGAAUCUGUUGAGUGUGAAAACCCAGCAGCGCUGCAGUUCUUGACACACUCAAACUGGUGUGCCUGGCAUCUACUACCAUACCCUGUUCAAAGGCACUUAAAUCUUUUGUCUUGCCCAUUCACCCUGUGAAUGGCGCACAUACACAAUCCAUGUCUCAAUUGCCUCAAGCCUUAAGUCUUUCUUUAACCUGUCUCCUCCCCUUCUCUACACUGAUUGAAGUGGAUUUAACAAGUGACAUCAAUAAGGGAUUAUAGCUUUCACCUGGUCAGUCUAUGUCAUGGAAAGAGUACGUCAUGGAAAGAGCAGGUGUCCCUAAUGUUUUGUACUCUCAGCAUGCACUGAUCAAUUAAAGCAAAACUACCAAAACUAUUGCUGAUGGUGAACCUGAACAAUUGAAGCAUCUAUUGUAAGCACGUUGAUAACAAUCGAGCAAAUUCCAUAUGUUGUCACUCAACUAAUAAAGCCUAAUAUUGUGCAAGCCCUUUUAGCAUUUAAAUGCUGAAGGUGCCGCACAGACGUACAUGAUCCUGCAGGGACAGGGCGCCUAACUCGCGUUGGUCAGCACGCAAAGCUGUGCACAGUGUGCAGUCUACCUAGGCUACUGAUAUUCCCUGGGCUUUUUCGGCAUGCAAAAUGACUUGUAGAUCAAUGACUGUCAACAUAGUUAUAUGGCUAGUUCGACAGUGAAUGAGAGGACACAUCAGUUGUCAUAAAAAAACACAUUUGAACCGGCGAUUCGCAAUGUUAGAAUCGAUUUUCUGACGGAUGCAUGCUACAUUUGGAUCGUUUUGAGGUCCGCGGACCGACGUUAAACAUCUGAAAAUUGGGUGAAUCGUUACAUCCCUGCUAUAAAUACAUAGCGUAGGCUAUAAAAACAUGUUACGUUUCCCCUGGCCAUGCGCAGAUGGGAUCAGAUCGCAUAGGCUUCUCUAGGCUACCUGCAGCUGUAGUUGUUAUCAGUAGACUACAGUUGAUCAGACUAAUUGUGCACUUUGACAAAUCAUGAAGCAUUCUUUUUUUUGUGGCAGUUAUGGCCUUCCAUAUAAAACAGCUUUGAUAGGCUAAAUUUACUUGAUGAGAACAUGCCGUUAUAGCAACUCUGUGCUUCUGUCUAAAAUGUAACGAGUGUAGCCUAUAGAUGAGAAAAUAAACCCUUUAAUUGUCUGCACAUACAUGUUUGUGAAUUGUUGUAUUAUUCAAGAGUGUAAUAUGGUUUGGUUGCAUUAUUCAACAAUGUAAAAUAUUUUAGAAGAAAAGUUUGUCAAUGUUUAAUAGUGUCACGUUCCUGACCUUAUUUUCCUUUGUUUAACUUUGUUUAGUUGGUCAGGACGUGAGCUGGGUGGGUAGUCUAUGUUAUGUGUUUCUAUGUGGGGUUAAAUGUGUUGCCUGAUAUGGUUCUCAAUUAGAGGCAGGUGUUUGACGUUUCCUCUGAUUGAGAACCAUAUUAAGGUAGGCUGUUCUCACUGUUUGUUUGUGGGUGAUUGUUCCUGUGUCUGUGUCUGUAUGCACCACACGGGACUGUUUCUUGCUUUCGUUCGUUUGUGUAGUCUGUACCUGUUCGUGCGUUCUUCGUGUAUAUGUAAGUUCUCAAGUUCAGGUCUGUCUACGUCUUUUGUAGUUUGUUUAAGAGUUUUACCGUCUUUGUCUGUCUGUAAAUAAAUUCAUUAUGUCUUCAUUCAA